AUUGAACGCUGGCGGCAGGCUUAACACAUGCAAGUCGAGCGGAGCGAUGGUGCUUGCACCUUAGCUUAGCGGCGGACGGGUGAGUAAUGCUUAGGAAUCUGCCUAUUAGUGGGGGACAACAUUCCGAAAGGAAUGCUAAUACCGCAUACGCCCUACGGGGGAAAGCAGGGGAUCUUCGGACCUUGCGCUAAUAGAUGAGCCUAAGUCGGAUUAGCUAGUUGGUGGGGUAAAGGCCUACCAAGGCGACGAUCUGUAGCGGGUCUGAGAGGAUGAUCCGCCACACUGGGACUGAGACACGGCCCAGACUCCUACGGGAGGCAGCAGUGGGGAAUAUUGGACAAUGGGCGGAAGCCUGAUCCAGCCAUGCCGCGUGUGUGAAGAAGGCCUUUUGGUUGUAAAGCACUUUAAGCGAGGAGGAGGCUACUAGUACUAAUACUACUGGAUAGUGGACGUUACUCGCAGAAUAAGCACCGGCUAACUCUGUGCCAGCAGCCGCCGCAGUAAC
rnacentral:rRNA from 1 species